CCCUUAGAUGUUCUGGGCCGCACGCGCGCUACACUGACGGAGUCAACGAGUUGUCCUGCAUCGAAAGGUGCGGGUAAUCUUUUGAAACUUCGUCGUGCUGGGGAUAGAUCUUUGCAAUUAUCGAUCUUGAACGAGGAAUUCCUAGUAAGCGUGAUUCAUCAGAUCGCGUUGAUUACGUCCCUGCCCUUUGUACACACCGCCCGUCGCUACUACCGAUUGAAUGGUUUAGUGAGGCCUCGGGACUGGGGCGAACAGGCAGUUCUGCCCGUUCGUCCUGGGAACCUGGUCAAACUUGAUCAUUUAGAGGAAGUAAAAGUCGUAACA
rnacentral:rRNA from 1 species